UAGAUGACUAUGAUUAUUAAAUUAUGAUAUUUAACGUUUUAUUAAUCUCCAAAAUUUCCAUUCAGAUUUCUCUCUCUUCUUCUCGCGCAUUCCCUUCCCGCCAUAAUCGUCCAACCAAGUGGAAUCAACGGUGCCGCUUCAGAUCUGAAUCUCCGUCGGAGAUCCGGUGCCGGCAUUCUCCAUGCUGGAGACGCCAUCAUGCGCGGUGGCUCCAGUCCGCCGGCUUGCAGCAUCUCGCCUCUCCCCUAGCUUCUACCGCCAUCGAUCAUCGCCUCCUCCCCAACCUUCUCAUGCAGGUGCAGUAGCUGCUUUUGUGACACCUGUUGAAAAUGGCACUUCUCACAAGCAGCUGAAUGCUGAAUUAUUGUCUGUUAAGUCCCCAAAGGAUUCUCUAGUUGAAGACAGUUUUCAAAAGGAUGAAAAUGAGUCCACUAUUAGUAUUACUGUUGUUGGAGCCUCUGGAGACCUUGCUAAGAUGAUAUUUCCAGCUCUCUAUGCACUUUACUAUGAGGAUUGUCUCCCUAAGCACUUCAGUAUCUAUGGUUACACACGAAGUAAGAUGACUGAUACAGAACUGAGAAAUAUGGUUAGUAGGAUCCUCACUUGUAGAAUUGAUAAGAGAGAGAACUGCAAUGAGAAGAUGGAGCAAUUCCUAAAAAGAUGUUUCUAUCAUUCUGGUCAAUAUGAUUCUCAGGAAAACUUUGCAGUGCUAGACAAGAAGAAGCUGAAGGAACAAGAGAUCUAUGUUUGUUUGGUUGACUUUGUUUCCGGCUUCUGGUUUCCUUCUCAAUUAGGGUUCUUGACAACAUGAAAGAUUAUGCUGUAAGAGCCCUUGUGAAUGUUGUUGAUCAUCUAGGAAAGGUUGCAUACAAGUUAACUGACCUUCUUGAGCAGCAAACAUUAGAUGUUUCGACCAUGGAUUUGAAGGUCGCUACCGUAAAUCAGAUCUUCGUCUUCGUGUACCAGGUGUUGGUUUUUAUUGUUAAGUUUAAAUCUUUGAUUUACCACUGUGUGCAUGCAUGCUUGCUGGUUUCGCUGCUUUUUAUGUGUUCGUUUUUAGUUUACUGUGAGAUGCUUGCUGGUUUCGCUGUGCUGCUUUUCUGUGUGGAGGAAAACGUUACCGCUUACGGAAGAACGGAUGUCGCACAUCCGUUUCAAGCCAAAGGGAUAUGGGACAUCCGUUUUGGCUUUGGGUGUUUUUUUUUAGUUUAUUAAUUUUUUUUAUUUGAAAUGUAAAUAUAGAUUUAUUUAAAUUUAGUUUUUUUUUUUUAAUUUGUUAGUGGAUUUUUUUUUUUAAUUUAGUUAUUUAAUUAUUAUUUAUUUAAUUAUUUCAAUAGAAAAUUAAAACUUAUGUAAAGUUAAUGUUUGCUAUAUUGUGUUGCGUACAUUGCUGCUGUUUUCUGUUGCAUUGCAUAUGAAUUAGAACUACAAGUGGGGGAGAGAAAGGUCUGAUCGGUUAAACUUCUCAAUAAAUAUUCAUAAAUAAUAUUCAUAGGAGAAGAAAACAAGAAAGUAAAAUAAGUUGUGUUUAUCUCGGGAGUUAAAAUCUACUCAUGCCUUUAGAUUUUAAAUAAGUUAGAGGAGGGAGGUUCUAUAAAAAAAGCGAAGUGCAUAAAUUGAUUUUCCAAUACCAUUACCAAAUGACCAACAUUUGGCAUUGGAAGUAUAUAUAUUUUUGACAGAAUAUACUUAGAUGUGAGAAAACAUACGGCAGGCAUUCAAGGGAAAGGUGUUCUGAAGUCUGGUACCAAGGGGUAAGAGGAGGGAGUUCUUCGAAAUGAUAUAGUAAAUUGGUCAAUAUCAUUUUCAUUUUCAUUUUACCAAUUGUUUUUAAACUUUGGAAGCUUUGGAUCUUAUGCUAGUAGAUAAAUAGACAGACAGAUUUGUUUAGGCGUCUGAUAGAAAAUGUUCCACGAUAGUUGUAUCAUGACUUAAAAAAGGCCAAAAUAAAUCAUGAUGGUAUUAUUUUGAUGAAGUUUUGCUGCAGUGCAUUCCAGGGUAUGUGUGUUAACUGUUAAACUAGAGAUACCUGAUGCCCAAGAAGACAAAUAUCUAGAUUUUUUAUUUUUUUCAUAUGAUUAUAUUUUAGAACACAACAAAAUUAAAUGUCAUUAUAUCCUUUCACACUUUGUUAGAAGUUGUCUGCGUGAGUAAAUAUCUAUUUUUGAUGUUAGGCUUGCUGUACACUGUAGAAAUAUCAGGAUUUUUUUGUUAAAAUACAUUGUUGAUGAGAAGAUUGCACCCAUCUCAUUUUUCUAUCUGAUUUGAGGUACGAACUUUAAUAACUGGAUGACAAGAACUCAUUGCAAUCCUUCCAUUUGUGUAUUUUACAUGUAUUUCCAUGCCUUUAUUGUGACGUCCUAAUUAUAUAGAAAAGAAAUAUAUAAAUAAGACGUCAUCAUGCAUAAUAUUUGAAAGCAGUUAAAGAAUAAAGGAGGUGUUUACAGUCAUCCUUAAACAGUAUAAGAAUCUAGAAUUAGAGUAUCAUAGACCUCUUGUAAAAACACUAGGAAUUUAAAACUUUAAAAACAAGAUAAAGCUCUUCAGAAUAAAUUGAGAUCAAAAUAACAAGGCCUAAAGAACUAAGCUGCAACAUCUCUGUUUCCUUCCAGGGCUCUCUCCAAAGUAACUUCCUCGUCAUCUGCUCCCAUCCAAGUGGAUGAACAUCGCAAAUGAAAACACAUACAACAUGGCACAAACACAAACAAAUGCAAGGGUGACCUAAUUAUAUAAAAAAAAAAAUCAUGCAAUUGUACUAACAUGAACAUAUUGGAUUCAACCCAAGUAAAGUAUAUACAAGCAAGACAAUAUAUACAACACAAUCCUAACAUAUUAUUUUUUAGACUUGACUCGUCCGGACUUUAGAAUGAUAGUCGAGCUAUGGCGGGUCAUGCAUCCGUGGUGGCUUGUGAUACUUAGGCUCC